rnacentral:rRNA from 2 species
AUGCAGUCGAGCGAACUGAUUAGAAGCUUGCUUCUAUGACGUUAGCGGCGGACGGGUGAGUAACACGUGGGCAACCUGCCUGUAAGACUGGGAUAACUCCGGGAAACCGGAGCUAAUACCGGAUAACAUUUUCUCUUGCAUAAGAGAAAAUUGAAAGAUGGUUUCGGCUAUCACUUACAGAUGGGCCCGCGGUGCAUUAGCUAGUUGGUGAGGUAACGGCUCACCAAGGCAACGAUGCAUAGCCGACCUGAGAGGGUGAUCGGCCACACUGGGACUGAGACACGGCCCAAACUCCUACGGGAGGCAGCAGUAGGGAAUCUUCCGCAAUGGACGAAAGUCUGACGGAGCAACGCCGCGUGAGUGAUGAAGGCUUUCGGGUCGUAAAACUCUGUUGUUAGGGAAGAACAAGUACAAGAGUAACUGCUUGUACCUUGACGGUACCUAACCAGAAAGCCACGGCUAACUACGUGCCAGCAGCCGCGGUAAUACGUAGGUGGCAAGCGUUAUCCGGAAUUAUUGGGCGUAAAGCGCGCGCAGGCGGUUUCUUAAGUCUGAUGUGAAAGCCCACGGCUCAACCGUGGAGGGUCAUUGGAAACUGGGGAACUUGAGUGCAGAAGAGAAAAGCGGAAUUCCACGUGUAGCGGUGAAAUGCGUAGAGAUGUGGAGGAACACCAGUGGCGAAGGCGGCUUUUUGGUCUGUAACUGACGCUGAGGCGCGAAAGCGUGGGGAGCAAACAGGAUUAGAUACCCUGGUAGUCCACGCCGUAAACGAUGAGUGCUAAGUGUUAGAGGGUUUCCGCCCUUUAGUGCUGCAGCUAACGCAUUAAGCACUCCGCCUGGGGAGUACGGUCGCAAGACUGAAACUCAAAGGAAUUGACGGGGGCCCGCACAAGCGGUG